rnacentral:rRNA from 1 species
AUUGAACGCUGGCGGCAGGCUUAACACAUGCAAGUCGAGCGAGCGGCGGACGGGUGAGUAAUGUCUGGGAAACUGCCUGAUGGAGGGGGAUAACUACUGGAAACGGUAGCUAAUACCGCAUACCAUCAGAUGUGCCCAUAGGGGAUUAGCUAGGAGGUGGGGUAAUGGCUCACCUAGGCGACGAUCCCUAGCUGGUCUGAGAGGAUGACCAGCCACACUGGAACUGAGUCACGGUCCAGACUCCUACGGGAGGCAGCAGUGGGGAAUAUUGCACAAGGGUCGCAAGCCUGAUGCAGCCAUGCCGCGUGUGGGAAGAAGUCCUUCGGGUUGUAAAGCACUUUCAGCGAGGAGGCGUUACUCGCAGAAGAAGCACCGGCUAAUUCCGUGCCAGCAGCCGCGGUAAUUC